GAUGAACACUAGCGGCAGGCCUAAUACAUGCAAGUCGAACGGUGUCUUCGGACAUAGUGGCGCACGGGUGCGUAACACGUAUGCAACCUACCUUACAUUGGGGGAUAGCCUUUCGAAAGGGAGAUUAAUACCGCAUAAGACAGUAGCUGGGCAUCCAGCAGCUGUUAACGAUUUAUCAAUGUAAGCUGGGCAUGCGUCCAAUUAGCUAGUUGGUGAGGUAACGGCUCACCAAGGCAAUGAUUGGUAGGGGAACUGAGAGGUCAAUCCCCCACACUGGCAGUGAGAUAGUGGCCAGACUCCUACGGGAGGAAGCAGUAGGAAAUAUUGGUCAAUGGACGCAAGUCUGACCCAGCCAUGCCGCGUGCAGGAUGAAGGCGUUAUGCGUUGUAAACUGCUUUUAUACAUGAAGAAACGACUCUUGCGGGAGGCAUUGACGGUACUGUAUGAAUAAGCACCGGCUAACUCCGUGCCAGCAGCCGCCGCAGUAA
rnacentral:rRNA from 1 species